UCGUUAAAUCACCGACCGGUUUUCGCGGUGUUUUUUGCUCAUUAUUCAAAUCUCGUUGGUCUCGCGAGAUGUACUGACCUGGUCGCUCGUUUGCGUUCAAACCUUAUGGUUUAAACUUUAAACGGUCCAAAUAAAACUUUACCACCAUCUAGCGGUUUUUAUAAACACAAACUUUUCAAUUUAAUCCAGUAUUAAAACAUGUCAAUGAAGCGUUAUCAUGUUUUGUUUUUAUGCAGAAACGUUGUAAGCAAUAACUCGUGUAAAUUACCGAGUGGACAUAAAGUGACACCUUAAUAUUUUGACCUCCUGCGCAGUUCUGCCAUUUCUACUGAGCCGUGCUCGAGAAGAAAUCUCAUGGACAGCAGCAGAAAGAAGUUGUCCUUUAAGUGGCUACGAACUACAAUCACCUCACCCACACAGCUUCAGCAGAGAGAUGCUGGCCCAGGCACACCCCCUCACUGGAAUAUGUCACUGAAUGAAGAUUCAAAUACUUUGCCCCUCUGUGACUCUCCAGGACCUGAUGGCCUUGGAGCACUGAGUCUGGACACUCCCAAGAGGAAGGCACAGGAGCCUGGCGAAAGCACAGCCUCUUUAGGCAAACUUAAACUGAGGAAGCUUUCCAGGAAAAAUUGUGAAGAUUUCAUAAUUUCAGAGGAGAAACCUAUGGACAAGUCAUCCCCUCAGCUGGAACACUCAGAGAGCAAGCAAGUAUAUUCACCUCCACUUCACUCUUACUUCAUGAAGGAGGCUAUCUACAGGAGGGCAUUGAUAGCAGCCGUUGACAGCUCAAGAGCAAGUGGUAGCAAUACAAAUAUCCCCAUGACUUCACCAUUGAAGACUGAAGAGCCCAGUCCGCUGUCACUUGACAGAACGUUCACGAGUAUUGAGUGUUCACCAAUCAAAUCUGAGAAUAAAUCUAAGAACAACAGCAGUUUACAGGAAGAACAGUGGGACUCCACCCUUCAGUUGUUUGAGGACAUUGAAGCCCAAGAUGACGGCACAGAGCUAAAAACAGACAGAAGGAGUGUUGUGUUAAAAGAAGGAGAUUCACCAAAGAGGUUUGUUGCUCCGGACUCUCCAGACAAGUUAUUUGCUACAGAAAAUAGACCAGAAGACGAAUGCUGUGGCACGUCCCUCUCUGCCCUCGAGUAUAUCCCAGAUUCUUCAU
rnacentral:lncRNA from 1 species